UCCAGUAGUUAGCCGGGGCUUCUUCUGCAGGUACCGUCACCUUGCGGCCUCGUCCCUGCUGAAAGCGGUUUACAACCCGAAGGCCUUCAUCCCGCACGCGGCGUCGCUGCAUCAGGCUUUCGCCCAUUGUGCAAGAUUCCCCACUGCUG
rnacentral:rRNA from 1 species